GCGCGCGUAGCUCAGCCGGUUAGAGCGUCCGCCUGAUAAGCGGGAGGUCGGUGGUUCGAGUCCACCCGUGCGCACCA
rnacentral:tRNA from 1 species